rnacentral:rRNA from 1 species
UACGUAGGUGGCAAGCGUUGUCCGGAGUUAUUGGGCGUAAAGCGCGCGCAGGCGGUGCGGUAAGUCUAUGGUGAAAGCGCUCGGCUUAACUGGGCGAGGGCCGUGGAGACUGCCGGACUGGGAGGGGAGCAGAGGCGAGUGGAAUUCCGGGUGUAGUGGUGAAAUGCGUAGAGAUCCGGAGGAACACCAAAGGCGAAGGCAGUGUCCUGGGGAGUACCUGACGCUCAGGUGCGAAAGCCAGGGGAGCGAACGGG